GCGGCCAUGCGGGGCGGGAAGCCCCCUCCUCCUCUCCUGGCCGCCAUGCCUGUGGCCUCAGGAGACAAGGUGAAUGCCGCACCUGUGGACUCUCAGCCCGUCUAGGAGGAGGAUAAAGCACAAAUCCGAAAUGCAGUGUCCCUGGAAGGGACGCCCUCUCUGGGCCCGCUGGCUCCCGUCUCAUUGGGCUGAAUGGGGUCAUGUGACCACUCUCCGCUGCAAAGGAGUCUGGGAAAUUGCAUUUUGUUGUUGUUGGAACUCAUUUUGAAGCCAAAUGAAACGAGAAUCGUGUCAACGAGGAAGGUUUAGGGAGGGGGUGGAUGUGUAGGCAACCAGCAGAGGGCCCCGAAAUCCGUGAAGAUCAGGUCUGACGGUGGCUCCAUGCUCCCUCCAUUAAAGGGCUUCACAAAAACCCUUCCGAAAAGAGCUGGGCAUCAGAGCACACUGAGCAGCAGGAUGAAAUGCCCACAGAGCUUCUGAGGCCAAGUCCUGUCUGACAGAACCACCGUGAGAACAGCUGGUACUCAUGGACCAGUGGCAGCUGGAUGACCCGCAGUCGCCAUCCACUGAAUCCUUCCAGGAACACCUGCACGUGGAAGCAGGGCUCUUUUCUUAGACCUGGCCUCUUCCCCAGUUGUGCCUGAGGGCAAGUGUCAGCUGGGCACCAUCUAACCUUCCAGGAGGGCACUUCAGUGGCUGCACCAGUCUUGCCUGGGUCUUGGGACAGCCUGAGAUUUAUGUCCAAGAUCUGUGAGCUUAAAACUCCUCAUGUUCGCCCUGCGGAUGUUUCACGUGCAAUUUGGGAAUUUGGGAACGCUCAAAAUAGCAUUUGCUCAUA
rnacentral:lncRNA from 1 species